UAUCAUUUUCUCAGUUUUCCCGUUUGUCCCUUACCCUACAAAGAAAACAACACUUGUAAGACUGCUGUAAUUGCACAAGAAAAGUCAAGCAUGGCUCCAAUCCAGUGUUCCCCUACAGAUCCACAAGAUCUGGUCCAGUUAAGGACGGUAUCCGUGGUGUUGGUAGACUGUUGUAAAACACUGGGCCAGCAAAAGACAGGCGACAGCAACAAAAACCAGCCCACAACUGGCACAAGAAAAGUCAAGCAUGGCUCCAAUCCAGUGUUCCCCUACAGAUCCACAAGAUCUGGUCCAGUUAAGGACGGUAUCCGUGGUGCUGGUGGACUGUUGUAAAACACUGGGCCAGCAAAAGACAGACACCAGCAACAAAAACCAGCCCACAACUGGAGAAAGAUCAUCUCUCUCAUCCUGGAAGACCCCAGCAUCCCCCUCCACGCUAUGUACAGAGACCAAGAGAUCCGAAAA